rnacentral:snRNA from 1 species
GGAUGUCAGAUGACCUGGCUGUGAUAUUUGUAACCUAGGAUUCUGUUUAUUUUCGCUGAUCUGACUAUGAAGUCAUCUCCUUUCUUUGCCAUCCUUCUAAUGUGCACCCUUCUCAUUUCAAGCCACUAGGUUGAAAAGGGUGAUCUUCCCUGAAACUACUCUUUGGUUGAGGGUAUAUAAGUAGUUGUAUUCCAGGAUUAGGAUUUCCAAGAAAACUCUUUAAAAAAAAAAAAAAGACAUUUUUAUUUAUUGGAU